UCUCCUUUAAAAUGGAUCAAAGGUCGCAAGCGCAAGGACCCCAGUGCGAUCCCCGGUACCAAAAAAAAAAAAAAAAUUAAAUAAAGAAAUAAAGAAAUAAAUAAAAUGGAUCAAAGUUGCUGAAAACUGCCACACACACAAAGUUGUGGGAAAACAAUGAAUAAUCUUUUAUUUGUUUUGUUUUUUGGUACCAGGGAUCGAGCUCGGAACCUUGCUCUUGCGAGGCAGGCACCGGAACCACUGAGCUAAAUCCCCAACCCGACAGUGAAUAAGUUUGAAUGAAGACUUAAGGAACCCCAUCAACAGGCACUCCCUGUCAUCUGUGAGGUUUAGUGCCGAUGAGGACCAAAAUACAUGUAAAAAGGUGUCUCCUCAUAUACUGCUUACAGCUAUCCUGUGAGGUCGACAUGACAGGCACGAGGCCUGAUGCAUGGACAAGUGACUUUCUGGGAUCACGAAGCUGGCCUAGGGACCUUUCCUUAGUGCAUUGUCUCUGGCCAGCCAGACUGCAUCGGUCUGAGAACGAGUUGACCAGAGAGACAACCCACUGCUAUGCAAGACCCGCGGAAAAAUGUUUAAAGUGCCUGAUUUUGUUGCCAACCUUUAAAAAUUCUGAACAAAGGACAAAGACUUUCAAUUUCCUACUCUUCUUGAAGCACCAAAACCAUCCAGCAACGCUUGUGCUGUUCCUCUCACAGCCAAGACACUGCUGCCCCCUACAGGUAAGAGUAAGGCUCUCCUUUCUCUGAAGCCCUUCCCUCACUGUUUUAUUGCAAAUGUAUUGCUUCAUUUUGUGCACGAUGGCCUGUAUAGGUAUAUUAAUGCAUUUAUGCACUAAUUACAUUCAGCCUGGAGAGUCUGACAUGCUAGCGUGGGUCUGAUCAGAGAGAGAGAAGGGAGUAGGGGUCUUAGAUUUGCGAUUCUCAAUGUGAUUUUGUCCACCACAUGUUGAGAACU
rnacentral:lncRNA from 1 species